AACCCAACCAGGCAGGCAGACUGUUGUUACCAUGCAACGAGCAGACGCUUGUGAAAAUAACUAGCUACAAAAUUGGCUAAAUGCCUGCUGUUGUAUACAUAGCGCGCGUGUGUGUAUGUUGCUAACAUUGGCUAGUUAGCUAGCCAUCAAUAAAGUUCCUAACGUUACAUCAUGGCAGACGGCUGGAGCACCGACACCGGAGAGGUUGCCUAUCGUUCCCGGGAUGUUGUCAAAAACCUUACAAUUAAGAUCCGUAUUCAGAGAGUCACCUUCACAGCAGCCCUCUCUCAACACCUUCAGCAGCAGGUUUUGACUCAACAGGAGAGGGGAGGCAUUGAGCUGGACACCCUCAACUCACAGGCUCAAUCAGUGACAGCACCGUCCCCAAGUCCAGGCUGAUUACCUGGGAGCCCUCGGAGGACUUUAUGAAGACCAGCCACGUGGUCAACACACCUGUACAGACCAUGCACAUCAUGGGGGACCUGGGACCACCAGGCAAACUUGGCCAAAACGAGAAGGAAUGCUUGUUGUGCACAAUAAGAGCAGAUGGAAAUGGAGUGAUUACCAUCAAACCAGACUUCAACAAAGUUGUUUCAUCAGCAAAGGUCAUCUCAAAUCUGAUUUUAUUUGUCACAUGCCGAAUACAACAGGUGUAGUAGACCUUACAGUGAAAUGCUUAUUUAAAAAAAAUAAGUGUUAGGUAAUUAUUUUUUAUUUUGGACCUAGACUUGGCGCUCCGGUACCGCUUGCCGUGCGGUAGCAGAGAGAACAUUCUAUGACUAGGGUGGCUUGAGUCUUUGACAAUUUUUAGGGCCUUAUUCUGACACCACCUGGUAUAGUGGUCCUGGAUGGCAGGAAGCUUGGCCCCAGUGAUGUACUGGGACAUACUCACUACCCUCUGUAGUGCCUUGCAGUCAAAGUCCGAGCAGUUGCCAUACCAGGCAGUGAUUCAACCAGUCAGGAUGCUCUCGAUGGUGAAGCUGUAGAAUUUUUGCUAAAUCUUUUCAGUCUCUUGUGGGGGAAUAGGCUUUGUCGUGCCCUCUUCACGGCUGUCUUGGUGUUUUUUGACCAUUAUAGUUUGGUGAUGUGGACACCAAGGAACUUGAAGCUCUCAACCUGCUCCACUACAGCCACGUCGAUAAGAAUGGGGGCAUGCUCAGUCCUCCUUUUCCUGUAGUCCACAAUCUUCUCCUUUGUCUUGAUCACAUUUAAGAAGAGGUUGUUGUCCUUGCACCACAUUGUCAGGACUCUGACCUCCUUAUAGGCUUUCUCGUCGUUGUCGGUGAUCAGGCCUACCACUGUUGUCAUCGGCAAACUUAAUGAUGGUGUUGGAGUUGUGCCUGGCCAUGCAGUCAUGAGUGAACAGGGAGUACAGGAGGGGACUGAGCAUGCACCCUAGAGGUGCCCCCGUGUUGAGGAUCAGCGUGGCGGAUGUGUUGUUACCUACCCUUACCACCUGGGGGCGGCCCGUCAGGAGGUCCAGGAUCCAGUUGCAAAGGGAGGUGUUUAGUCCCAGGGUCCUUAGCUUAGUGAUGAGCUUUGAGGGCACUAAGGUGUUAAACGCUGAGAUGUAGUCAAUGAAUAGCAUUCUCACAUAGGUGCUUCUUUUGUCCAUGUGUGAAAGGGCAGUGUGGAGUGCAAUAGAGAUUGCAUCAUCUGUGGAUCUGUUGGGGCGGUAUGCAAAUUGAAGUGGAUCUAGGGUUUCUGGGAUAAUGGUGUUGAUGUGAGCCAUGGCCAGCCUUUCAAAGCACUUCAUGGCUACAGAUGUGAGUGCUACGGGUCGGUAGUCAUUUAGGCAGGUUACCUUAGUGUUCUUGGGCACAGGGACUAUGGUGGUCUGCUUGAAACAUGUUGGUAUUACAGACUCCGACAGGGAGAGGUUGAAAAUGUCAGUGAAGACGAUUGCCAGUUGGUCAGAGCAUGCUCGGAGUACACGGCCUGGUAAUCUAUCUGGCCCUGCAGCCUUAUGAAUGUUGACCUGUUGAUCAAUGUUGAUCACAGUCAUCCGGAACAGCUGAUGCUCUCAUGCAUCUUUCAGUGUUACUUGCCUUGAAGCGAGCAUAGAAAUGAUUUAGCUCGUCUGGUAGGCUCGUGUCACUGGGCAGCUCUCGGCUGUGCUUCCCUUUGUCGUCUGUAAUAGUUUGCAAGCCCUGCCACAUCCGACGAGCAUCGGAGCCGGUGUAGUAGCCUGUAUUGACACUUUGCCUGUGUAACAGUAUAACUUUAGACCGUCCCCUUGCCCCGGGCGCGAACCAGGGACCCUCUGCACACAUCAACAACAGUCACCCACGAAGCGUCGUUACCCAUCGCUCCACAAAAGCCGCGGCCCUUGCAGAGCAAGGGGAAACCCUGCUUCAAGUUUCAGAGCAAGUGACGUAACCGAUUGAAAUGCUAUUAGCGCGUACCCGCUAACUAGCUAGCCAUUUCACAUCCGUUACACCUGUUUGAUGGUUCGUCGGAGGGCAUAGUGGGAUUUCUUAUAAGCUUCCAUGUUGGAGUCCUGCUCCUUGAAAGCGGAAGCUCUACCCUUUAGCUCUGUGCGGAUGUUGCCUGUAAUCCAUGGCUUCUGGUUGGGUAUAUACGUAUAGUCACUGUGGGGAUGACGUCAUUGAUCCACGUAUUGAUGAAGCCAGUGAUUGAUGUGGUGUACUCCUCAAUGCCAUCGGAAGAAUCCCAGGAACAUAUUCCAGUCUGUGCAAGCAAAACAGUUCUGUAGUUUAGCAUCUGCUUCAUCUGACCACUUUUUUAAUAGACUGAGUCACUGAUGCUUCCUGCUUUCAUUUUUUCUUGUAAGCAGGAAUCAGGAGGAUAGAAUUAUGGUCAGAUUUGCCAAAUGGAGGGCGAGGGAGAGCUUUGUACGCAUCUCUGUGUGUGGAGUGAAGGUGGU